rnacentral:rRNA from 1 species
CCCUGGCAAAGUUNNGUGCCAGCAGCCGCGGUAAUUCCAGCUCUCGUAAUGUAUAGAAUUAUUGUUGCGGUUAAAAAGUUCGUAGUUGGAUUUUCGACUGUUCGAGGGUCGGCCCUAACGGGACGUACUUUCGGCAGUGUUUGCAUUUGGCUUUGGAGCAAUCCAGAGUGAAAUGCGGAUUACUUUGAACGGCUUAAGUGCUCAAGGCGAGUCUUCGGACUGAAUACCGGUGCAUGGAAUAAUGGAACAAGGUUUCGGCCGAGUUUUAUUGGUUUUGUCGGCUGAGACAAUGGUUAACAGGAACAGCUGGGGGCACUCGUAUCGCUGCGCGAGAGGUGAAAUUCGUGGACCGCAGCGAGACGCCCUAAAGCGAAGGCAUUUGCCAAGAGUGUUUUCAUUAAUCAAGAACGAAAGUCAGAGGUUCGAAGGCGAUUAGAUACCGCCCUAGUUCUGACCGUAAACGAUGCCAACUAUCAAUCCGCGAGUGGCUUUUGGUCAUUGGCGGGCGGAUCGACGGAAACGAAAGUUUUUCGGUUCCGGGGGAAGUAUGGUGCAAAGCGAAUAA